rnacentral:rRNA from 1 species
UACGUAGGCAGCGAGCGUUGUUCGGAAUUACUGGGCGUAAAGAGUGUGUAGGCGGUGCUCUAAGUUCGGUGUGAAAUCUCCCGCUUAACUGGGAGGGUGCGCCGGAAACUGGAGUGCUCGAGCGUGGGAGAGGAAAGCGGAAUUCCUGGUGUAGCGGUGAAAUGCGUAGAUAUCAGGAGGAACACCUGCGGUGUAGACGGCUUUCUGGACCAUUGCUGACGCUGAGACACGAAAGCGUGGGUAGCAAACAGG